GAGAUCACUGACCACUUUAUUUUGGAGAUGGUUCCCUCCCUCUUUUACCAACUGCUUUUUGCUUUGGCCAUGCAAUCAUAUCAUACUUUGUCUUCCACCACCCACCAUGGCUGGCUGACCUCCUUAAAUACACACAGACAGAAGACCAGACCCCUCCUUCCCCACAGACACCAUGGAAGAUCUUCCAGAAGCUCAGAUGGAAGCCAUUUUCAUCUCUGUCAUGACUGAGGGAUGAUUUUAGUUUACUACCAAAAUGUUUGGCAACUCACCAUCACUUGACGUCUCCUUGGUGGUGGCACAAUGCUGAGUGGGCAGGUCCGCUGCAAUGCGGAAGUUUUGCACCAGUACUGCAAAUGGAGGUCUUAACUGCUUAUUUGUUGUCCCAGAUUCCCUUGGUAUUCUUUCCCCACGGUUGCAAGUUUCUGUGAGAUCACAGAUUUGGGUCCUCCUAUAUCAUGGAAAUAGAGAGUUAUUUCUGAAACACUUCAAUCUUAUUAUAUUCACCUCUAAAUGGAGGGAUGCCCCAUUAAUUGUACCUCAUUUUCUUCAUGGGUGAUGCAUUUUCUGAUAUUCCUGAUGCAUUGAACCCAUUCCGAAAGAGAACUCUUUUGUUUUUUGGAUAAAUGUAUGAAGUAUUGUUCUCUUUUGCCAA